UCCUGACUGACCGAUAGUGAACCAGUACCGUGAGGGAAAGGCGAAAAGAACCCCGGCGAGGGGAGUGAAAAAGAACCUGAAACCGUGUACGUACAAGCAGUGGGAGCACGCUUAGGCGUGUGACUGCGUACCUUUUGUAUAAUGGGUCAGCGACUUAUAUUCUGUAGCAAGGUUAACCGAAUAGGGGAGCCGAAGGGAAACCGAGUCUUAACUGGGCGUUAAGUUGCAGGGUAUAGACCCGAAACCCGGUGAUCUAGCCAUGGGCAGGUUGAAGGUUGGGUAACACUAACUGGAGGACCGAACCGACUAAUGUUGAAAAAUUAGCGGAUGACUUGUGGCUGGGGGUGAAAGGCCAAUCAAACCGGGAGAUAGCUGGUUCUCCCCGAAAGCUAUUUAGGUAGCGCCUCGUGAAUUCAUCUCCGGGGGUAGAGCACUGUUUCGGCAAGGGGGUCAUCCCGACUUACCAACCCGAUGCAAACUGCGAAUACCGGAGAAUGUUAUCACGGGAGACACACGGCGGGUGCUAACGUCCGUCGUGAAGAGGGAAACAACCCAGACCGCCAGCUAAGGUCCCAAAGUCAUGGUUAAGUGGGAAACGAUGUGGGAAGGCCCAGACAGCCAGGAUGUUGGCUUAGAAGCAGCCAUCAUUUAAAGAAAGCGUAAUAGCUCACUGGUCGAGUCGGCCUGCGCGGAAGAUGUAACGGGGCUAAACCAUGCACCGAAGCUGCGGCAGCGACGCUUAUGCGUUGUUGGGUAGGGGAGCGUUCUGUAAGCCUGCGAAGGUGUGCUGUGAGGCAUGCUGGAGGUAUCAGAAGUGCGAAUGCUGACAUAAGUAACGAUAAAGCGGGUGAAAAGCCCGCUCGCCGGAAGACCAAGGGUUCCUGUCCAACGUUAAUCGGGGCAGGGUGAGUCGACCCCUAAGGCGAGGCCGAAAGGCGUAGUCGAUGGGAAACAGGUUAAUAUUCCUGUACUUGGUAUUACUGCGAAGGGGGGACGGAGAAGGCUAUGUUGGCCGGGCGACGGUUGUCCCGGUUUAAGCGUGUAGGCUGGUUUUCCAGGCAAAUCCGGAAAAUCAAGGCUGAGGCGUGAUGACGAGGCACUACGGUGCUGAAGCAACAAAUGCCCUGCUUCCAGGAAAAGCCUCUAAGCAUCAGGUAACAUCAAAUCGUACCCCAAACCGACACAGGUGGUCAGGUAGAGAAUACCAAGGCGCUUGAGAGAACUCGGGUGAAGGAACUAGGCAAAAUGGUGCCGUAACUUCGGGAGAAGGCACGCUGAUAUGUAGGUGAAGUCCCUUGCGGAUGGAGCUGAAAUCAGUCGAAGAUACCAGCUGGCUGCAACUGUUUAUUAAAAACACAGCACUGUGCAAACACGAAAGUGGACGUAUACGGUGUGACGCCUGCCCGGUGCCGGAAGGUUAAUUGAUGGGGUCAGCGCAAGCGAAGCUCUUGAUCGAAGCCCCGGUAAACGGCGGCCGUAACUAUAACGGUCCUAAGGUAGCGAAAUUCCUUGUCGGGUAAGUUCCGACCUGCACGAAUGGCGUAAUGAUGGCCAGGCUGUCUCCACCCGAGACUCAGUGAAAUUGAACUCGCUGUGAAGAUGCAGUGUACCCGCGGCAAGACGGAAAGACCCCGUGAACCUUUACUAUAGCUUGACACUGAACAUUGAGCCUUGAUGUGUAGGAUAGGUGGGAGGCUUUGAAGUGUGGACGCCAGUCUGCAUGGAGCCGGCCUUGAAAUACCACCCUUUAAUGUUUGAUGUUCUAACGUGGACCCGUGAUCCGGGUUGCGGACAGUGUCUGGUGGGUAGUUUGACUGGGGCGGUCUCCUCCUAAAGAGUAACGGAGGAGCACGAAGGUUGGCUAAUCCUGGUCGGACAUCAGGAGGUUAGUGCAAUGGCAUAAGCCAGCUUGACUGCGAGCGUGACGGCGCGAGCAGGUGCGAAAGCAGGUCAUAGUGAUCCGGUGGUUCUGAAUGGAAGGGCCAUCGCUCAACGGAUAAAAGGUACUCCGGGGAUAACAGGCUGAUACCGCCCAAGAGUUCAUAUCGACGGCGGUGUUUGGCACCUCGAUGUCGGCUCAUCACAUCCUGGGGCUGAAGUAGGUCCCAAGGGUAUGGCUGUUCGCCAUUUAAAGUGGUACGCGAGCUGGGUUUAGAACGUCGUGAGACAGUUCGGUCCCUAUCUGCCGUGGGCGCUGGAGAACUGAGGGGGGCUGCUCCUAGUACGAGAGGACCGGAGUGGACGCAUCACUGGUGUUCGGGUUGUCAUGCCAAUGGCACUGCCCGGUAGCUAAAUGCGGAAGAGAUAAGUGCUGAAAGCAUCUAAGCACGAAACUUGCCCCGAGAUGAGUUCUCCCUGACCCUUUAAGGGUCCUGAAGGAACGUUGAAGACGACGACGUUGAUAGGCCGGGUGUGUAAGCGCAGCGAUGCGUUGAGCUAACCGGUACUAAUGAACCGUGAGG
rnacentral:rRNA from 1 species